rnacentral:rRNA from 1 species
AAUAGAUACCCGGGUAGUCCACGCCGUAAACGUUGGAUACUAGGUGUGGCGGUUAUACCAAUGACUGCCGUGCCGAAGCUAACGCAUUAAGUAUCCCGCCUGGGGAGUACGGCCGCAAGGCUAAAACUCAAAGGAAUUGACGGGUCCCCGCACAAGCGGCGGAGCAUGCGGCUUAAUUCGAUGCAACCCGAAGAACCUUACCUGGGUUUGACAUCACGGGAAAAGCUGUAGAAAUACAGUGUCCAUUAGGGCCCGUGACAGGUGGUGCAUGGCUGUCGUCAGCUCGUGUCGUGAGAUGUUGGGUUAAGUCCCGCAACGAGCGCAACCCUUGUCCUAUGUUGCCAGCGGUUCGGCCGGGGACUCAUAGGAGACUGCCGGGGAUAACUCGGAGGAAGGUGAGGACGACGUCAAGUCAUCAUGCCCCUUAUAUCCAGGGCUGCACGCAUGCUACAAUGGCCGGUACAACGGGCAGCGACCCCGCGAGGGUGAGCGAAUCCUAAAAAGCCGGUCCUAGUUCGGAUUGAAGUCUGCAACUCGACUUCA